UGGGAAACUCCUAUACGCCCCACGUCAGCGGGGUAUCUCUGAUCCUGCCCGAUGGAGGUCUGCGGGUUCCCAGCCGAUGCUGCCGGAUGACCCUGAGCAGCUUCAACAGUAGGAAGUUCUUUCCUGGGAGGCCGCAUCCAAGCACAGAUUUAUCAAAGGACUCGUCCUCUACACACCCUGCUCCAGAACCUUGACCUUGACGGGAUUGGAACAGGCAUUGAAGGCUGAGUAAGGAGGAGGGGCCACGCUGGCCAGCAGGCUCCCUAACAUCCAUUGUCCCCUGCGCGGUCCGUCAUAGAAGAGACUGUGUGGCCCGGCCCACCUUGUUCCGCGUGGCCAUGGAGGGUAAUGAGUGGGGUGACCUGUGCGGUUUCU